rnacentral:rRNA from 1 species
AUGCAACUACCUUUAACAGGGGAAUAACCCGUGAAAAACGGACUAAUACUCCAUAACACAGGGGGUCCCGCAUGGGAAUAUUUGUUAAAGAUUAAUCGGUUGAAGAUGGGCAUGCGUUCCAUUAGCUUGUUGGUGAGGUAACGGCUCACCAAGGCCACGAUGGAUAGGGGAACUGAGAGGUUUAUCCCCCACACUGGAACUGAGACACGGUCCAGACUCCUACGGGAGGCAGCAGUGAGGAAUAUUGGUCAAUGGAGGCAACUCUGAACCAGCCAAGUCGCGUGAAAAGGAUGAAGGUCUUAUGGAUUGUAAACUUCUUUUGCAAGGGAAUAAAGUGGGGGACGUGUCCCUCCUUUCCGCAUGUACCUUGCGAAUAAGGAUCGGCUAACUCCGUGCCAGCAGCCGC